AUAUUUGUAAAUAUUCCUUACUACACCGACUAGUAAAUUAAUUGAAGUAAUCGAAAGAAUUCUACAUGAUUUUAAUACAGUUUUCUCUGCAUUUUACUGUAAUGUAAUGGCCGUUCAGGACAUAGUUAUAAAGUAAUAUAGAAACAGUUCAGUAUUCUUAAAUAUUGCUUCUCCGAAAUAUUGUUCUCUCUGUUUCAUACACAUGUAUAAUUGUAUAUUGCUAUCCUAAGGUUAACAAAGUACAGUUCUUCUCUGUACCAGGCAUACAGGUAGCCAACUGGACGCUGGCAUAUUUCCAUUAUACAUUGCAGUUUCAUGCAGAUUCAGCAGUCUGCAGAAUGUUGUAUCACCAUAUUUGUAAUAACGCUCGAACAUGAUAGCUAAU
rnacentral:lncRNA from 1 species